UACGGAGGGUGCGAGCGUUGUCCGGAUUCACUGGGUUUAAAGGGUGCGUAGGUGGGCAGGUAAGUCAGUGGUGAAAUCUCUGGGCUUAACCCGGAAACUGCCGUUGAUACUAUCUGUCUUGAAUGUAGUGGAGGUGAGCGGAAUAUGUCAUGUAGCGGUGAAAUGCUUAGAUAUGACAUAGAACAUCGAUUGCGAAGGCAGCUCGCUACACUAUGAUUGACACUGAGGCACGAAAGCGUGGGGAUCAAACAGG
rnacentral:rRNA from 1 species